UGUCCGUCCACCCUGACGGUGCUGCCCCCCUCCAGUGAGGAGCUGCUGAAGGGGAAGGCCACGCUCAUGUGCCUGGCCAACAAGGGCUUCCCCUCAGACUGGAGUCUGGCCUGGAAGGUGGACGGCAGCAGCAGCAGCAGCUGGGAGGAGAGCAGGAGCCCCGGGGUGCUGGAGAAGGACGGCAAAUACAGCUGGAGCAGCACCCUGAGGCUCCCUGCAGACCAGUGGGAGAAGGUGGGCUCUGUGACCUGUGAGGCCACCCAGGGCUCCCAGACUCCACUCUCAGAGACACUGAGGAGAGACCAGUGUUCCCAGUCCUGACCU